CAGUCCGUUUGCGAUACGGUCCAGCCCAGCUAAUGACCUAACCCUAGCCCGGCCCCGAUGAUCCCCUGAACCGAUCCUUCCUCUCGAUCCCGACCUGGUUCACACCGGCGGCGGCGGCAGGCCGGCACCGAAUUCCAGCAGUUCCUCACAGACUGCCCGGCUCCCCCUCAGCCCCUCUCACACAGGCACGCAACAGCCAGUAGCAGCCCGUUCCCCGGCGGCAGCUCGCCGGCUGAGCUCGUCACUUCGCAGGCGGUAGCGGCAGCAGCAGCACCAAGGUACUUGAUGGAGCCUGAUCUAACUUUGGAUGAAGUAGCAGAACAGAACAGAUCAGCACCUGACGAAGAGGAUGAAGAUGCUUUCGUCGUCGAGGAGAUUGGGGAUUCUUCAGAUGACCGACAGGCAGAGCCGACCGUGGCGUUGGAACCCAAGAAGGGGAUGAUGUUCAGCAGCGAGGAUGAUGCUGUCAGGUUCUACAAAGCUUAUGCCAGAAAAAAGGGCUUUGGUGUCAUAAGAAGGACGACCAGACACGGAGAAGACAAAAUGCUUACUUAUUUCACGCUUGCUUGUAACAGACAAGGGAAGGCUCAGUACUCAGCAAAGAACUCAUUCAAGCCUAAUCCGUCGACAAGGAUGCAAUGCCCAGCUAAGAGUAAUUUCUCUCGUCGUGGGGAAAACUUUUGUAUCACGACUGUUACGCUUGACCACAAUCAUCCUAUAAGUCCAAGCAAAGCCAGAUUUCUGAGAUGUCAUAAGAAAGUGGACUUGCAUUCCAAGAGAAGGCUAGAAUUGAAUGAUCAAGCAGGAGCACGUAUGAACAAGAAUUUUGGUUCUCCUGUUAUGGAAGCUGGCUGGUAUGGAAAUCUUGAGUUUGGUGAAAAGGAAUGCACUAACUAUUUGCAAGAGAAAAGAAGCCUGAAACUUGGUGCUGGAGAUGCACAUGCCCUUUAUCGGUAUUUUCUCCAUAUGCAGUCAAAAGAUCCAGCUUUUUUCCAUGUUAUGGAUGUGGCCGAGGAUGGACGACUGAGAAAUGUCUUUUGGGCAGAUGCAAGAAGUAGGGCUGCAUACGAGUCUUAUUGGGAUGUCAUCACAUUUGAUACUACAUACCUAACAAACAAGUAUACAAUACCGCUCGCUACUUUUGUUGGCAUAAAUCAUCAUGGAGAAUCUGUUCUAUUAGGUUGUGGUCUUCUGUCCAAUGAAGACACCGAGACUUUUGUUUGGCUGUUUAAAUCUUGGCUAUGCUGUAUGUCAUGCAAACCACCAAAUGCUAUAAUCACCGACCAAUGCAAACCAAUGCAGAAUGCUAUUGAAGAAGUUUUCCCUCAAGCUCGUCAUAGAUGGUGUGCAUGUCAUAUCAUGAAGAAGAUUCCUGAAAACCUUAAUGGGUAUGAAAACAUUAAAUCUACAUUGUCAAAUGUGGUGUAUGAUUCCUUGACCAAACAUGGUUUUGACAAAGCUUGGGUGGAGAUGAUCAAUAAAUAUGAUCUUCAGGAGAAUGAAUGGCUUGCUGGAUUAUAUGAUAAUAAAAAUCGAUGGGUACCAGCAUAUGUAAAAGAUACUUUCUGGGCAGGAAUGUCUUCAACAAAAAGGAGUGAGAGUGUAAAUGCUUUCUUUGAUGGCUAUGUCAAUGCUAGAACAACUCUGAAGCAAUUUGUGGAGCAGUAUGAAAAUUUAUUAAGAGACAAGGUAGAGAAAGAAAACAAGGCUGAUUCUAAGUCAUUCCAACAGCAAAUUCCAUGCAUUACUCACUAUGACUUUGAGAGACAAUUUCAAGCAGCAUAUACUACUGCAAAGUUUAAAGAGUUUCAAGAUCAAUUAAGAGGUAAAAUCUAUUGCUAUCCAACUCAGCUGAACAAAGAAGGAUCAAUUUUUACAUUUGGAGUCAGAGAGGACAGCAAGAUUUUUUGUGAAGGGGAGGAUGGCAAAGGAAAAGAGAAAAGGGUUAUUUUAGAGUUCAUUGUCUUGUUCAACCAAGGGGAAUGUGAUGUGCAGUGUAUGUGUAGGCUCUUUGAAUUUCGAGGCAUCUUGUGUAGCCACAUCAUUUCCGUGCUUGCUCUCAUGGAGAUCACAGAUGUACCUUCUAGGUAUAUAUUGCAGCGAUGGAGAAAGGAUAUUAAGCGCAAACACACAUUUAUUAGAUGCUCCUAUGAUGAUAUGAUUGAUACACAAGUUGUGCAGCGUUAUGAUAAUUUGUGCAAGCGUUCCCACGAACUGGCAGAGAAUGGUGCAGAGUCUGAUGCAUUGCAUGACUUGGUGAUGGAUGGCCUUAAUGAAUUACAAAGUAAGAUUGACGCGUACUGUGCUAGUGUAGGUUGUCCUCCUUCAAAGAGAAAGGAAUCGAAAGUGGAUCAAGUGGUCAAAAAAUUGAGAGCAAAGAAGCAGCAGGUACCAACAAAUACAAAUGAAAUGCCAAGUCAAUAGAGGAGAAAGGACAAGGCUGGGAUGUACAGGGUGGUUUCUAUGUCAGUCCUGAUGCAAAGCUGCUAUUUGUGGUCCCGAUCCGUGGGAACAGUCCAGCCACGUUGGUGAUGAGUGGAGAUCACUGCAUCAGCAUGAAGUACUCCACUGCGAAGCAUGGCCAAAUGUACUUCCAAGUCUGGAUGGUUGAAAUUCAUGAUGUAGACUAAUCUGGAGAUAGGGUUGCUCAUGCUCAUCUGAUUUUCAUGAUGAUGAAACUCUUGGCAUCGAUUUCGAUGCCCUGUAGAUAGUCAGCACUAGUUGCCCAAGGCUUCAGACACGAUGUUUUGCCAUGUUUCAGUCUAGGUAUCAUAUAUGACCAGACACAAACCUUAGUCUUUCUUCAUUUAUGUGUUUGUCAGUUAAAUCAUUUAGUCUUCUUCAGUUUCUUUUCAA